ensembl:lncRNA
AAGCGCAAAAGGAAAGGGGAAGGGAGAGUCUGGGACAGGAAAGGGCCCGGGCGCAGGGGCUCGGGAGGGGAGGAGCGUCGUGCGGAGGGAGAAACUCGAGGAAGCCAAAGAGAGGCAGACCCGGCAGUGGGCGGGAUGGGCAGCCUAUAGUCGUCCCGUGUGUGGAGGUGCGGUUGUCGGGGUAGCUCUGGAUGUCGGGAUUCUGGGCUCCGUUCUUUUCUCCUCCGGUGUUACUCGAGCGCUGCAUUCACUUUGGAAGGCAAAGAGGAUGAAGGACUGAAUUCUCGCAGGAAUGAGGGAUAAAGAGAGCUGUGGCGCUAUAGGAAUCACUCAAAGAUUGCUUAUAAAGGGAGGAAUGGUGGAAACAAAAUCCUUUAGACACAGCAAUGCCUUUCAAGUAAGUCUGGUAUUUUGUAUACUUUGUUCUGGGCUUGGCAAACAAUCUCUUUGUUAAGUAAUUCACACUGAAGGUUACCUUGAAUGUAAGUUGAAUUCAGAUUAAGUUCAUUAUAUGUGUGAUGGGGUGUGUGUGGUUCGUGGACAUAUUCAGGUAUGCACACCCUUGCGCAAAAGAAGCCAGAGAAGGAUGUCCCACAUUGUUACUUCUCUCUCCCUUAUGGCCCUGAGACAGGGUGCUGGCUUGUCAUCUCAGGAUCCUUCUGCCUCCACCCCCCAAUGCUGGGAUUGUAGGCAUGUACACCUGGACUGGCUUCACUGGAGAUCAAACUCAAGUCCUCUCCACAAGAACUAUCUUAAUUAAAGCCCCUCUCCCUCAUAUGUUUUUACUCUCCAAAGGCUCAUUUAGCUGAAGUGACAUUGUGUUUGUGUGCUGGAGUACUAGUAUAUUUUAAAAUAUGAUUAAACCAAGUAUGGUGGUGUAUGCUCUAAUUCCAGAUUAGGAGACUCAGGCAGUAAGUUCUAGAAUUCUGAAGCCAGUCUGGGCACAUCAAGGAAUCCUGUGUCCCAAAGCAAAACCAGGAGAUCUAGGUGAGGCAAAUCAUGUCUGUAAUCUCAGCACUUGAAAGUCUGAGUUUCUAGGUGCUAUAGAGUGAGACACUGUCUCAAAAUAAAUAAAAUGAAUGAAAGAAAGUGUGGGCUUAGGAUAAGAAAAUUGUGGUGCAUAGAUAGAUAGAUAGAUAGAUAGAUAGAUAGAUAGAUAGAAUGUGAAUUUGGUUUGAGUGAUUUCUUGAACAAAAUGGUACAUAGUAUUGAGUAAAGGAAAGAAGGAAUUUUAGGCAUUGAUAGAUUUUACUAAAAUAUAAUUUGUGUUUGUUACAGUUGGGCUGGUUCUUUUUGGAGAGAAAAACACUGAAUCAUAGGCACUCACUAUGGUGUGUCUAAUGCCCAUAUAUUGAAGCUUGGUUACCAGUCUCAGAGGAAUUCUAGGAAAGGGUUAAGAUAGUUCUUGUGGAGCCCUUUGUUACUUCUCAAGAUAAAGUUGUUACAAUAAAUGACAUGCCUCAAUGGUCAAUUUUCUUUGGUUGCCUCUAUAACCAUAAUUUUCCUGUCAUACCUCCAUGAUGCCAUCUGCCAUAGAAGGAGGGGAGUCACCGGAGUCAGCACUUUGCUAUUUGAACAGCUCCAAAACUGUGAACUGUCUUCUUAAAAAGUAGCCAGGCUAAAAUGAUUUGUUACAGUAACAGCAAAUGGAUUAAUGAAGUAGCAUCCUUGUAUUUUCUCUGGGGAAAAAAAAUUGCCAGGCAUGGGAGAUUUCAU